ensembl:lncRNA
GUCUGUCUGUCUGUCUGUCCUGUCCGUCCAUCUCUCCUCUAGAGAACCAGGUCUGUCUGUCUGUCUGUCCGUCUCUCCUCUAGAGAACCAGGUCUGUCUGUCCGUCUCUCCUCUAGAGAACCAGGUCUGUCUGUCUGUCUCUCCUCUAGAGAACCAGGUCUGUCUGUCUGUCUGUCCGUCUCUCCUCUAGAGAGCCAGGUCUGUCUGUCCGUCUCUCCUCUAGAGAACCAGGUCUGUCUGUCUCUCCUCUAGAGAACCAGGCCUGUCUGUCCGUCUCUCCUCUAGAGAACCAGGUCUGUCUGUCCGUCUGUCUGUCCGUCUCUCCUCUAGAGAACCAGGUCUGUCUGUCCGUCUGUCUGUCCGUCUCUCCUCUAGAGAACCAGGUCUGUCUGUCUCUCCUCUAGAGAACCAGGCCUGUCUGUCCGUCUCUCCUCUAGAGAACCAGGUCUGUCUGUCUGUCUGUCCGUCUCUCCUCUAGAGAACCAGGUCUGUCUGUCUGUCUGUCCGUC